CAUGCAAGUCGAGCGGUAGCACAGAGAGCUUGCUCUCGGGUGACGAGCGGCGGACGGGUGAGUAAUGUCUGGGAAACUGCCUGAUGGAGGGGGAUAACUACUGGAAACGGUAGCUAAUACCGCAUAACGUCGCAAGACCAAAGUGGGGGACCUUCGGGCCUCAUGCCAUCAGAUGUGCCCAGAUGGGAUUAGCUAGUAGGUGGGGUAACGGCUCACCUAGGCGACGAUCCCUAGCUGGUCUGAGAGGAUGACCAG
rnacentral:rRNA from 2 species